UGCCCAGGGAUGGGAAUCGAACCCACAUUGUUCCGCUUACCGGGCAGAUGCCAUGUCCACUAGGCUACCCUGGAC
rnacentral:tRNA from 1 species